rnacentral:rRNA from 1 species
AAUCAACGCUGGCGGCGUGCCUCAGACAUGCAAGUCGAACGCGAAAGUUUCCUUCGGGGGAUGAGUAGAGUGGCGCACGGGUGAGUAACACGUAGGUAAUCUACCUUUGGAUGGGGAAUAACAAUCGGAAACGGUUGCUAAUACCGCAUAAUGCAGCGGCACCUAAUGGUGACAGUUGUUAAAGCGGGGGAUCGAAAGACCUCGCGUCUGAAGAGGAGCCUGCGGCGGAUAGCUAGUUGGUAAGGUAACGGCUUACCAAGGCGACGAUCCGUAGCCGGCCUGAGAGGGCGGUCGGCCACACUGACACUGACAUACGGGUCAGACUCCUACGGGAGCAGCAGUCGGGAAUCUUGGACAAUGGGCGCAAGCCUGAUCCAGCCAUGCCGCGUGGGGU